rnacentral:tRNA from 1 species
GUUUAGGUAGUUUAAAUAGAACAUGGCGUUGAAGUUGCCAAGGUGACUACGUGUCUUUGAACA